GACGAACGCUGGCGGCGUGCUUAACACAUGCAAGUCGAACGGAAAGGCCCUGCUUUUGUGGGGUGCUCGAGUGGCGAACGGGUGAGUAACACGUGAGUAACCUGCCCUUGACUUUGGGAUAACUUCAGGAAACUGGGGCUAAUACCGGAUAGGAGCUCCUGCGGCAUGGUGGGGGUUGGAAAGUUUCGGCGGUUGGGGAUGGGCUCGCGGCUUAUCAGCUUGUUGGUGGGGUAGUGGCUUACCAAGGCUUUGACGGGUAGCCGGCCUGAGAGGGUGACCGGCCACAUUGGGACUGAGAUACGGCCCAGACUCCUACGGGAGGCAGCAGUGGGGAAUAUUGAACAAUGGGCGGAAGCCUGAUGCAGCAACGCCGCGUGCGGGAUGACGGCCUUCGGGUUGUAAACCGCUUUCGCCUGUGACGAAGCGUGAGUGACGGUAAUGUGUAAAGAAGCACCGGCUAACUACGUG
rnacentral:rRNA from 1 species